rnacentral:rRNA from 1 species
CAGCAGCCACGGGAAUACGUAGGGUGCGAGCGUUAAUCGGAAUUACUGGGCGUAAAGCGUGCGCAGGCGGUUAUGUAAGACAGUUGUGAAAUCCCCGGGCUCAACCUGGGAACUGCAUCUGUGACUGCGUAGCUAGAGUACGGUAGAGGGGGAUGGAAUUCCGCGUGUAGCAGUGAAAUGCGUAGAUAUGCGGAGGAACACCGAUGGCGAAGGCAAUCCCCUGGACCUGUACUGACGCUCAUGCACGAAAGCGUGGGGAGCAAACAGGAUUAGAUACCCCAGUAGUCCCUGUCUCUUAUAC